GAUGAACGCUGGCGGCGUGCCUAAUACAUGCAAGUCGAGCGAACAGACGAGGAGCUUGCUCCUCUGACGUUAGCGGCGGACGGGUGAGUAACACGUGAAUAACCUACCUAUAAGACUGGGAUAAAUUCGGGAAACCGGAGCUAAUACCGGAUAAUAUAUUGAACCGCAUGGUUCAAUAGUGAAAGACGGUUUUGCUGUCACUUAUAGAUGGAUCCGCGCCGCAUUAGCUAGUUGGUAAGGUAACGGCUUACCAAGGCAACGUUGCGUAGCCGACCUGAGAGGGUGAUCGGCCACACUGGAACUGAGACACGGUCCAGACUCCUACGGGAGGCAGCAGUAGGGAAUCUUCCGCAAUGGGCGAAAGCCUGACGGAGCAACGCCGCGUGAGUGAUGAAGGUCUUCGGAUCGUAAAACUCUGUUAUUAGGGAAGAACAAAUGUGUAAGUUACUAUGCACGUCUUGACGGUACCUAAUCAGAAAGCCACGGCUAACUACGUGCCAGCCGCCGCAGUAA
rnacentral:rRNA from 1 species